CAGUCGCCGCGGUAACACGAAGGGGGCUAGCGUUGCUCGGAAUUACUGGGCGUAAAGGGAGCGUAGGCGGACAUUUAAGUCAGGGGUGAAAUCCCAGAGCUCAACUCUGGAACUGCCUUUGAUACUGGGUGUCUUGAGUGUGAUAGAGGUAUGUGGAACUCCGAGUGUAGAGGUGAAAUUCGUAGAUAUUCGGAAGAACACCAGUGGCGAAGGCGACAUACUGGAUCAUUACUGACGCUGAGGCUCGAAAGCGUGGGGAGCAAACAGGAUUAGAUACCCCCGUAGUCCCUGUCUCUUAUAA
rnacentral:rRNA from 1 species